UUUCUUUUUGCUGCUUUUCAGGUCCCUUUCUCCUCUCCAGCCUUCCUUCUUUCCUGUCCCCUGCUUGUCACUGUGACUUUUAUCCCCCUUCUCCCAACUGCUUUGAUUGCCUUUCCCUGCUUUGACUUCUUUUCAGUGUUUUUUUUCUUUUUUCCCAUCUCUUCUUUUCCCUUCCCUUCUUUUCUUUCUUUCUGCUGCUUUUCACGUCUCUCUCCCAAUUUUUCUGCUUUCUUCUUCUCCCUGCUUUUCUUCGCCCUGUUUUGCCCUUCCUUUCAGGUCCUUUCUUCCCCCCUUUCUCUUCCUUUCCUUUCCUUUCCUUUCCUUUCCUUUCCUUUCCUUUCCUUUCCUUUCCUUUCACUGUUUUCACUUCUUUCCUUGCUUCUUAGGUCUUGUCUUUUCCCUCCCUUUCCCCUUUAUCUUCCCUUCCCUGCUUUUCAGAUCCUUUCUUUUACUUUGUUUUCUUUUCUCUGCUUUUCUGGUCUUUUCCCAUCUUGUCCUUUCUUUUCUUUUUCCUUCUUUUCCCUUCUGUCCUUUUCUUGUCUUUCUCCCCCCUCCCCCCCCUUUUCCCCCUUUCCUUUUCCCUCCCCCAUUCCUCCAUCCACUCCCCUUUUCUUUCUUUUCUUGCUCAUCUUUCAUGUCUUUCCUGUACUUUCACAUCUUGCACUUUAUUCACUUUUGUUCACUUCUUUUCAUUCAUUUUUUGUUCACUUCCUUUGUUCACUUUUUCUCAUUUUCUUUCACCUUUUAUUUUCACUUUAUUCUUUUCACUUCUCUUCACUUUUUUCAAGCCUUUCCACUGCUGCUCUUUUUCUUUUCACAUCUGUCUCCUUUUUUCACUUCUUUCACUUCCUAUCUUUUCACUUCUUUUACUUCUUUUCACUUUUUCUCACCUUUCUUUUUUCUUCCUUUCUUGUUUCUUUCUUUCCUUUGUCCACUUUUCUUUCGUCCACUUUUCCUUUACACCUUCCCCUCUCCACCAUCUUCACUUACCCCUUUCCAUUUUCUCUCCUCUCGUGUCUUAAAAUGUUUUCCCCUUUCUUCUUUCUCCUUUUUCUUUCCCCCUUUCUUUCUUCUUUUCACUUUUUUCUUUUGCUCUCCUUCCCUCACUCCUCCUUCAUUUUUCCUGCUCUUUUCUUUCCUUUCUUUUUCUUAUUUCACUACUUUUCUUUCUUGACCCUACUUUCACUUUUCUUUUCACUUCUUUCUCUUCACUUGUUUUCUUUCUCUUCACUUGUUUUCUUUCUCUUCACUUGUUUUCUUUCUCUUCACUUGUUUUCUUUCUCUUUACACCUUUUUCCUUCUGUUCACUUCAUUCACUUCUCUGUCGUUUCACUCUUUUGUUUUCUUUUCUUCCUGUCUCUUCUUUCACAUCUUUUCCCUCAUGUCUUUUUUAUUCGCAUGUCCUUUCUUUUCACUACUACUUCUUUCACUACUUCUUCUUUCACUACUUCCACCUUUUGUUUGUGUUUUUUUCCAUGUUUUUUCAUGACUUUCAGUUCACUACUCUUUUUUCAUUUUUCUUCACUUUCCCUUUUAUCUCACUUUUUUCCUUCCUUUCACUUCCUUUAA
ensembl:lncRNA